ACUCUUAUCUUCACAACCCACGCAUAUUUCAUAAACCCUAGCUAUCACAAUCAUCUUCCUUCUUCUUCUUCAUCAACGGUUCAUGGUCGCGCUACAUUGUUGGUUUGGUGAGCCGAGGAGGAAGAAGCGAAUUGAAAUGGUUGGAAAUGGUGGAAGCUUUCAAGUGGCACUGGUUUGGAAGGCGGUGGUGGUGUUAGGGUGAAGGAAAGAUGAGGAGAAAGAUACUUUUCAAUCUGGAUGAAUUUUUGUGUUUUGAUUUUAUUUUCUUAAAUUUCAUGUCAUCUUUUUUAAAAUCCUCCUUUCCCCUUCCAUUUUCACAGCAAAAGAAAACCCUAAACGCUCGAAUCUCUGUCUAUCUCGAUGGUGGCGCAGAUGUUGUUGGAUGAUAUGGUAGCAAGUUUUUGGUUAUAUUUUCUUGCAGCGUACAUAACUUUUGUAGAACCCUUGGGCAGAUAAGGAUGGAUUUAGCCUACUUAAAAAGCCAACAGAAAAAAGAAGCCAAUGGAAAAACAGGAUGCUGGGACAUGGUAGAGAAUAGAGAUGAGGCAAAAUUUUGUAGACAACUUUAAUAUGAAUUUAGAUAUGGGCCUUUUAGCCGCUAUCAAAAGCAAUCUUAGCGUGAACCUGGCUCAUGUUUGUAAGAGUAAUCGGUUAUCACCGGUGUGUGUGUGCAUAUUUGGUGGAUCGGCGUUUGUUCUCGUGGCGGUUAUGGUUCAAUCGACUUUCUCGAAACUCUCUCAGGUAACAAACAAACAUCCAUUGAGUUCUGAUUAUUGUUGUGGUUCUUGGCUGCAUUUGGGCAUCAUUGUACGGUUCCGUAGGGCAUCAUCAUUGUUGAUCUUCAAGUCAGUUAGUUCGGUGGUAGCAACGUCGGUUUAUCAUAGUUGAACCACGCAUAUAGCAGGAAGCUCAAGGGCCUUGUGUAGGGUUGAGCAAACCUUAACCUUUGACCAAAGUUGGCCGCUAUCCGGACCGCCACCAAACCGAACUAGAAGUUAUGGUAUUUUUAAUUGUAUUUUCACUCUCUUUAAUUUAUGUAAUAUGUCAAUUUGUUUAUGAUUUAUGAAGUGACUUUUAAGAAUAUUAAAUUUUAGGU